GUCUUUGUGUUGUAACGGUAGCACACUCGGCACUUACUCGAUAGGUCCAGGUUCGAGUCCCGGCAAAGGCA
rnacentral:tRNA from 1 species